CUAAAUCAAAUCGAACACCCAAAUUUGGUGGUCACUGUACAUCCUCACAUGCAUUUCAUAAAUGAUUUUAUUACCAGAUCACAUCAUUGUCCACCCCUUGACUUCUUACCAACAUGAUGGUUUAGUGCAACUCUAGGUACAUACGAUGCAGUAACAAGUUUGGCUGAAUAUGCCAACCAUCCUACAUACCGCAUGACGAAGGAUGUCAUCUCCCCACAACUUCUUGCAGAUAUAUUGGCAAUCCAUUUUUCUGCAUGUGGGGCCCGUAAAAGCAAUAGCUUGCCCGCAUCGCUCUGUAAACAAUAGAACACGUCAUUAAAAAAUGUCCAAAUUGCGAAAUGUCUUGAUGUUCAUGUGACAAUAACAGUCCACUACGGCUGACAGGAGAAUGAACACAUUUUUAGGGAUAGGGAUAUCGAUUUCGUACCAACAUGAAUGGAGUUUCCUAGUUGCACAAUCAACAAGAGGCAAAGAAGAAUAGCUUUCGACUCCAUAAGGUCACACUCAAACUUCUUACUCGCUUUUCUAUUUGGGCGUCCAGAAGUAUUUAAGAUUAUGUGUAUAUAUAUAUACUCUUGUAGCUAUAGAAUAUUUACUCCAAUCUCACUCAAAUAUGAUCAGAAAAGAUCUCGCCGUAUCUCUGAACUUAAUUCGGAAAAUUUAAUUUUAUCAUUCAGAUGGUUUACAUUUAUUGUCAUUGCAGGACCUAUGUACAUUUAUUCCGAUAUAAGUUUGGUUAUAUUAUUAAUUAAUUUUGCACCGCUAAAUGUGACCUAGUCAAAUCUAGUAUUUAAUUGCAUAUCAUGUGGACCAUAGUCAUGCUCCGGAAAUGUAGCUAUAUUAGUGAACCUUGUUAGAAUAAAUAUGAGGCGUACACUCAAUUUACCGAGAAGCAAACAAUCACGCGAGCAUGACACUAAGAUUUUUUAACGAGGCAUCAAUAUUGCUAUAUCCCCGGAGCCUGACUAUGGGCACUCCUUGCCAUGACACCGCUGAAUUAGUGCACACCCACCGCCCGGGGGCCUACACACGCCGCCGGCUCCGCAUGCGUGCCUGUCCUAUUAUGUUGGCAUAUGAUACAUCGUGUGUCUACCCCCUCAUUAUAUAGGAGGUCUAGGUUACAGGUGUACUAUAAUAAGACAUGACUUUUAUCCUGUCCGCACAUAGUCCAAAUCCAAGUCUAACUGUUACCUACCUUGUAUAAAUAUUUGACACAAUUCUAACAAACUCCACCUUAAGGAAUAUGUUGGGGAAUAAAGCAUUGAAAACAAAAAAUUAUCUUGCGGACAACCAAGAUAUAUCUAUGGUGAUGCGUAGCAAUGAGAGGGGAGAGUGUGUCUACGUACCCUUGUAGACCGUUAAGCUGAAGCAUAUAUUACACGAUUGACGUAGUCGUACUCGUCACGGUCCAAUCGCGAUCCAAUCCGAUCCAACACCAAACGGACAACACCUCUGUGUUCAGCACACGUGUGGAUCGGUGAUGUCUUCGCCUCCUUGAUCCAGCAAACGAGGGUGGAGUAGUAGAUUGGAUCACGAGCAACACGACGAUGUGGCAGCGAUGGUUGUGGUGCGGUGCCGCUAGGGCUUCGCCGAGCGUUACCGGAACGACGAACUGAGGAUUAACGGUGUCCUAGACUAGAGGGUCCCGGCCUAGACGAUUUAAUCUAUGGGACCCGCUGACGACCCGUUAAUAAAGGAGCCCUACGGAGGCUUUUAACCUGCAGUGUGAGCAUAUCGUGCUUCAUCAAGGACUUGUUGUGUACUUCAAGGAUUUCUAUUAGAUUUGACAUGUAAUCCCUAGAUGGCAACUGACCAUAUAUAACCCUAGAUACCCUUGAUGCCUAUAUAAGCUAGAGGGUUUAAUUCUCGGGACAUAUUCAUUCAUCAUCACCCCUAGGGUUUAGUCCACAACUUACGAUCUCGAGGUAGAUCAACUCUGAACUUUGAUACACCCAUAAUAUAAAAAAGACCAGGACAAACGAUUUUACCUCCUUAAAAGGGACCAAACCUGGGUUAAAGCAUCGCGCCCCUUGUCUCUUGUUACCAAUCAAUCCGACCUCACAGCUCGGCUCCCCUUACGUGAGGCCUGCCGGUUUUGAUACCGAUAUUGGUGCUUUCAUUGAGAGCUCACUCUUGGAUCACAUAUUGAUACUAGUAUUGGUUCUGGUGCCAUCUUCAUCCCUCACCAGCUCGUUGCCUUUGGCAGCUUAGUGCUCCAUGCUGAUCCGACCGGCUUCUUGCACUGUGUCGACAACUUCACACCAAACAAGGUCCUCAUGUUUGAAAUUCUUGAGUACAUCACGGAUGCCCGAGGAGAUCUAGUUAUCCCGAAACAGACCACAGAUCAGUUCAAAGAUCCCUCUGGCUCGGGAACUUUGGAACAAGUUUCCGAUCGGAUCCUCGAAUACGACCUCCCUAUGGAAGAAACCCCGGUCGUCUGAUGUAACCCUUGCCUCCUUGGAUGACACCCCAUAGCCGAGCUCCUCGACAUAAUCGUUAACGGUCUUCGAGGCAGCUUCUUCGCGUGUUGAUCUAGAGUCGGUCCGGAGUGAUCGAGAUGACAGGCUUGUGUCAAGCAUCCCGAAAAAACCGUUUCAGAUCAGCCGGCUUAUAGCAAGAUCCUUGAUGCCAAGGAUCUCUCUCAAAUAGACGAGGUACUAGAUGAAUCAAGAACCUGGUGAUCUCAUACGCUAACUACAAUCAAAUCGGAUGUAAAGCCGGAGAUGGGAAAUUUCAACCCACCCACCACCCAAUUAGUCUCCACGGUCGAGGACCUGACCAAGACGAUUGAAUUUUGCUCCGACAAAUCCAUCGAUAUGGAGGAAUGUCAGUCUCGCAAUACCGGAGGAAAUUCUCCUACGACCAUACCCCGUAUGCAGAAUUGGGUUGCAUCAUCUAUGGUCAACACUCCCAAGGAAGGUUGCAAGGAGCAGCCUAAGGAUAACUCUAAACCUCACUGCCCUAAGCGAAAACUAAAGGGGAAGAGCGGAAGAAGAAGAAACACCAACACCACUGGCGCCGCUGAUAAUAAUUCUUCCCCCAAUGCCGCUGAAAGGUAGGGUGGGAACGAUCAAGCCUCACUGCUAAGAGCUUCAUUGGGUUUAUCUCCAAAGAGGAAGGGUGAAGAAAUAUUGUAGCGAUUAGUAUUUAUGUCACUAACAACCAAGGCUAUCGAACCAAUAGGAUAAUCAUGACAAACUGUCGUCGUUAGUACCUACGCACAAAAAACCAAGAACUUGCACCCAAGACGGGAAGGGGGUUGUCAAGCCCCUUGAACUCGUUACUUGCAAGGAUUAGUUCUGACAGAUAUGAUGAUAUAAAUAUAAAAAAUAAAAAUAAAUUAUAAAAGGAAGCUAGGUAUUUCUAGGUUCUUAGUAACUAUAUUUAUGUAGACCUGGGGGCCAUAAGUUUUGCUAGAGGCUUCUCUCUCGAACAUAGCAUACGGUGGGUAAACAAAUUAAUGUUGGGAAAUCAACGUAAUAGUGCAUAGUUAUGUUAUCUUAUUCACGACAAUGAUUAUGUAUAAAGACAUCAUAUCCAUAAACAAGUAGGCCAAAACGAUCUUGCAUCUACUACUAUUACGCCACGUCGAGAGUGCUACUAUGAUUGCCUCUCUAGGUAUUAAGUUCAUGAAAAACAAAGCAAUGUUGGGAGCGCGAUGACAUGAUGUAGAUAAGGUAAGACAAGCAAUAUGUGCAGACCCCAUCGUUUUAUCCUUCAUAGCAACAUAUUAAAUAUGUGUCUUGUCCACUUCUGCACUUGGAUAUAGAGCACUGAUGACCCACAAGUAUAGGGGAUCAAUCGUAGUCCUUUCGAUAAGUAAGAGUGUCGAACCCAACGAGGAGGAGAAGGCUCUGAUAAACGGUUUUCGGCAAGGUAAUAACUGCAAGCACUGAAAGUAGCGGUAACAAGUGAUGGUGUAGUGAGGUCAAACGUAGCAAGCGAAAAGUAACAAGUAACAAGUAGUAGCAACGGUGCAGCAAGUGGCCCAAUCCCUUUUGUAGCAAGGGACAAGCCUGAACAAAGUCUUAUAAGAGGAAAAACGCUCCCAAGGACACACGGGAAUUUCUGUCAUGCUAGUUUCAUCAUGUUCAUAUGAUUCGCGUUCGUUACUUUGAUAGUUUGAUAUAUGGGUGGUCCGGCGCUUGGGUACUGCCCUUACUUGGACAAGCAUCCCACUUAUGAUUAACCCCUCUCGCAAGCAUCCGCAACUACGAAAGAAGAAUUAAGACAAUGUCUAACCAUAUCACUAAACUAGUGGAUCCAAAUCAGCCCCUUACGAAGCAACGCAUAGACUCGGGUUUAAGCUUCUGUCACUCUAGCAACCCAUCAUCUACUUACUACUCCCCAAUGCCUUCCUCGAGGCCCAAAUAUGGUCAAGUGUUAUGUAGUUGAUGUUCACAUAACACCACCAGAGGAAAAACAACAUACAACAUAUCAAAAUACCGAACGAAUAUCAAAUUCACAUGACUAUUAUCAGCAUGACUUAUCCCAUGUCCUCAGGAACAAAAUUAACUACUCACAAAGCAUAAUCAUAAUCAUGAUCAGAGGUGUAAUGAAUAGCAUCAAGGAUCUGAACAUAAACUCUUCCACCAAGUAAUCCAACUAGGAGCAACUACAAAGAGUAAUCAACACUACUAGCAACCUUACAAGUACCAAUCGGAGUCGCGAGACGGAGAUUGGUUACAAGAGAUGAACUAGGGAUUGGAGAGGAGAUGGUGCUGAUGAAGAUGUUGACGGAGAUGCCUCCCCUCCGACGAGAGGAGUGUUGGUGAUGACGAAGGCGACGAUUUCCCCCUCCGGGAGGGAAGUUUCCCCGGCAGGAUCGUCCUGCCGAAGCUCUAGAUUGGAUCUGCUCAAGUUCCACCUCGUGGCUGCGGAGAAUCCACGAAAAAGCUCCACACUGAUUUUUUUCCGGACGAAACCAUUCAUAUAGCAAAAGAGGGGGGCCUGUGGGCCACUAGGGUGCCCACAAGCCAGUGGGCCGCGGCAACUAGGCUUGUGGGCCCCUGGUUGCUCCCCUUUGACAUUUCUUUCGCCCAAUAUUUUUUAUAUAUUCCAAAAAAAAUCCACGUUGAUUUUCAGGGCAUUUGGAGUUGCGCAGAAUUGAGGACUCAGACUUGCUCCUUUUCCAGUCCAGAAUUCCAGUUGCCGGUAUUCUCCCUCUUCAAAUAGACCUUGCAAAAUAGGAGAGAAAAGGCAUAAGUAAGGUUCCACAAAGUAUAAUAACAGUCCAUAAAGCGAUAAAUAUCAACAUGAACGCAUGAUGCAAAAUGGACGUAUCAACUCCCCCAAGCUUAGACCUCGCUUGUCCUCAAGCGAAAACCAAGACCCAAAACAUGUCCACAUGUUUAGGGAUGAAGGUGUCGAUAAAACAUAAUACGGACAUGAGGGCAUCAUGAUCACACAUAGAACAACAAUACAUCAUAGAGAUUCUUAUGGGAAAGUAACAAUUCCUUCACAAAGCAAAGUAUGAAACAAAAACCUUACUGAGAAGUAGCCAACAACAGUGCAUAGUCAUUGAAGCAAUUGCAAUCUAUCAUAACAUCAGAAAGAGUCAAAUAAGAGCUUGUAAGGCAAAUCCUCAUACUCAAUCAUCUCUUUUGUUUUCCACAAUUGUUACAACUCACGUGGUACUCAUGAUAUCAAAGUUUCAGUUGGACACAGAGAAAGAUAUGGGCUUAUAAUUUUGCCUCCCAACCAUUUACCUCAAGGGUAAAGUCAACAAUAAUAAACAUAAGUACUCAGCUCCAAGUUGAUAUAUGAAUAUAGAUCUUUCCUAAGCAUAUGACGUUCACCAAGAAAAAGGCUAAAUAAGGAAUUGCUGAAGAUCACCAUGACUCUUACAAGGGCAAAAAGUAAAAGUACAAGAUAGGCCCUUCGCAGAGGGAAGCAGAGGUUGUCAUGCGCUUUUGAGGUUUGGAUGCGUGUCCUCUUAGUGCGGAGUAAUGUCACUUUAUAUUGCCUCAAGCGAUAAAGAACUUUAUUAUGCAGUCUGUCGCUUUUAUGUCUUCCUCAUCACAGGUUCGUACAAAGCUUAUUUUCUACACACUAAUAGAUCAUACAUACUAGAGAGAAAUUUUUAUUGCUUGCACCGAUGACAACUUACUUGAGGGAUCUUAUUCAAUCCAUAGGUAGGUAUGGUGGACACUCAUGGCAAAACUGGGUUGAAGGUUUAUGGAUGCACAAGUAGUAUCUCUACUUGGUGCGGGAGUUUUGGCUAAUAUGAGGUGGAAGCAAUCGUCACAUGCUAAGGGAUCUCUAAUCAUAUAACAUUGUUUGGAACCAAGCAAACACAAUUCAUUAUGUUGUCUUCCUUGUCCAACAUCUACUUCUAAGCAUGUAAUAGUUUGGUGAGUGCUCACAAUUAUAGAAAGUGUCUAAGAUGAUAUAUUUAUAUGUGAACCUCUCUUUCCUUAUUACUUCUUAUUAAUUGCAACAAUGACGGGGGUCUAUGUUGGUCUAUUCUCAACAAGUUUCAAUCAUCAUACUUGUUAUAUGUGAAGCUAACACUUUCCAUAGGAUCAUCUCAUGAUCUUUCAUGCUAUCGUUCUUUUCAUACUUUUGAUCACGGCACAAAACAAAGCCCUUGACUAAGAUACUCUUUAUUAUAUAGCUCGCAAGCUCGAAUACAUCGGGGGAGACACAAGGCAAAAGACACAAACCAAACACUAAAGACUUAUUCCACUAAGAGAAGAAAUAAAACUGAAAAGGAAAGAACUAAAACAAAGGUAAAAGCAAAAGAUAUAAAGGCGAUACGAUACCAGGGCAACUCCCCCAAGCUUGGCAAAAGACAAGGGGAUUGCCCAUACCAAUGCUUAGUUGUCUUCCUUUGGUGGUGAUGGUGGUGGACUUGUUGAAGCAGUCUUUGCCUUUGAUUCCAAGAGAGCUAUUAAUCUUUGAUUUAUACCUUUGAUAUCUGCGACAUGGUUUUCCAGCAAAACAACUUCACGAGAAAGGGAAAUAUUGCGAGCACGAGUUGUUUCACAAAACCUCAAGAGUUCAAUCAAGGAUGGAGACAACACGUGGAGGAAGGGUUGGAGAAAAUCUACUCCUUCAACGUCUUCAAUGUUGAACAUAGGUUGAACUUCCUCCCUAGCUUGGGUUUGCUCCUUAGUUUUGUCCCUGGCUUCCGUGACUUCUACUCUUUUCAGAUCAACAUCUACUUCUUCAUGAACUUGAGGGAGAUUAUUCUCCCCCAACAGAUUCCUGAGACAUCUUUGCUCUAAAUCUACGACAGACAACAUGCUCGAAACGAAAACAGAGGAAAACUGCGUGAUACAGAGAUCAAAACCCUCGGGCGUAUAUAUAAUGAUUUUUUUCGGACCAGAAGGAGUGCUCUGCAAGAAAACGGAGUCCGGGAGGCACACGAGGUGCCCACAAGCCCUGUUGCGGCGGCCAGGCGGGUAGGCCGCGACAACCAAGCUUAUGGCUGCCUCGUGCGCUCUCCAAACUAAUUUUUAUUUUUCUAAUUUUCCAAAAAUUCCAAAACGGAGAAAAUUUCCUAUUGGAAAAGUUUCGGAGUCCAAUUACUUACCGAAACAGACACCUCUUUGUUUUCAGGGUCUAAAACAGGCUGAUAAACAUCCCUUAUGUAGUCCUCUGGAGUUAUGAUAUUGAUGAUAUUGGUCUCAACAUUUAUGGGAGUACCAGAGAUGUAAUGCUUGAUUCUUUGCCCAUUUACCACUCUAGGAAAAAUACCUUCCGUGUUAUUGAUUUUGAUGGCACCAGAAUGAUAUACUUCCUCGACAACGUAGGGACCUUCCCAUUUAGAGAGAAGCUUGCCUGCGAAGAAUCUUAAACGAGAAUUGUAUAGCAGGACAUAAUCACCUACAUUGAACUCUCAUUUUUGUAUUCUUUUAUCAUGCCAUCUCUUAACCUUUUCCUUCAACAACUUAGCAUUAUCAUAUGCCUGGGCCCUCCAUUCAUCUAAUGAGCUGAUAUCAAACAACCGCUUCUCACCGACAAGUUUGAAAUCGAAGUUGAGCUCUUUGAUUGCCCAAUAAGCUUUGUGUUCCAGCUCAAGAGGUAAAUGACAGGCCUUACCGUAAACCAUUUUAUACGACGACAUGCCCAUGGGAUUCUUAUAGGCAGUCCUAUAAGCCCAUAGUGCAUCGUCAAGUUUGCUAGACCAAUUCUUUCGAGAUCUAUUGCGGUCUUUUGUAAGAUCAAUUUGAUCUCCCUAUUACUCAAUUCCACUUGACCACUAGACUGAGGAUGAUAAGGAGAUGCAAUUCUAUGGUUGACAUCAUACUUAGCGAGCAGCUUGCGGAAAACACCAUGAAUGAAGUGUGAACCGCCAUCAGUCAUCAGAUAUCUAGGGACUCCAAAUCUUGGGAAAAUGACUUCUUUAAGCAUCUUAAUAGAGGUGUGGUGAUCAACAUUUUUAGUGGGGAUAGCUUCUACCCAAUUAGUGACAUAAUCCACAGCAACUAAGAUGUGAGUGUACCCAUUGGAACUCGGGAAGGGUCCCAUAUAAUCAAAGCCCCAAACAUCAAAUGGUUCAAUGACAAGUGAAUAGUUCAUAGGUAUUUCCUGACGUUUGCUAAUGUUGCCUAUUCUUUGACAUUCGUCACAAGACAAGACAAACUUACGGUCAUCCUUGAAGAGAGUGGGCCAAUAGAAACCUGAUUGCAUUACCUUAUGAGCAGUUCUGUCUCCAGCUUGGUGCCCUUCGUAGGCUUCCGAAUGACACUUCUACAGGAUCUGUCCCUGUUCAUGUUCAGGCACACAACGUCUAAUAACACCACCUACUCCUUCCUUAUAAAGGUAAGGAUCAUCCCAAAAGUAGUGUCUCAAAUCAAAGAAGAAUUUCUUCUUUUGCAGGUAGGUGAAACUGGGUGGUAUGUAUUUGGCUACGAUAUAGUUUGCGUAAAUAGCAUACCAAGGUGCACUAUAUGAAGUGCGGAUGACAUUCAAUUGCUCAUGAGGAAAGAUGUCAUCAAUAGGUUGUGGGUCAUCAAGGACAUUCUCUAGCCUGGACAAGUUAUGUGCCACAGGGUUAUCAGCACCCUUUCGGUCAACAACGUGCAAAUCAAAUUCCUGUAGCAGGAGAACCCAUCUGAUUAGCCUAGGCUUAGCGUCCUUCUUCUCCAUAAGGUACAUAAUAGCAGCAUGAUCAGAGUGAAUAGUGACUUUGGAGUCAACUAUAUAAGAUCUGAACUUUUCACAUGCAAACACGACUGCCAAAAACUCCUUCUCCGUAGUGGCAUAAUUUCUUUGGGCACUCUCUAGAGUUUUACUAGCAUAGUGAAUGACAUUCAACUUCUUGUCAACUCUUUGUCCUAGAACAGCACCAACAGCAUAAUCACUAGCAUCGCAUAUGAUUUCAAAGGGCAAGUUGCAAUCUGGUGGUUGAACAAUAGGUGCGGUUAUCAAGGCCUUCUUAAGUAUUUCGAAAGCUUCCUCACAAUCCUCAUCAAAAAACAAAAGGAACAUCCUUCUGCAAGAGGUUGGUAAGAGGCCUAGAAAUCUUAGAGAAGUCUUUAAUGAACCUUCUAUAGAAACUAACAUGACCUAGGAAACUUCGUAUACCUCUGAUAUCUGUGGGGCAAGGCAUUUUCUCAAUUGCAUCUACCUUAGCCUUAUCAACUUCAAAGCCUUUCUCAGAGAUUUUGUGUCCUAAGAUGAUGCUUUCAUUAACCAUGAAGUGGCACUUCUCCCAGUUCAAGACAAGGUUGGUAUCUUUGCAUCUCUGUAAGACUCGAUUAAGGUUGCUGAGGCAAUCAUGAAAGGAAGAACCGUAAAUGGAGAAAUCAUCCAUGAAAACCUCAACAAUAUAUUCACAAAAGUCAGAGUAUAUAGCCAUCAUACAUCUUUAAAAGGUGGCAGGUGCAUUGCACAAGCCAAAAGGCAUACGUCUAUAAGCAAAGGUACCGAAGGGGCAGGUGAAAGUGGUUUUCUCCUGAUCAGAUUGUGCAACAGGUAUUUACGAGAAACCUGAAUAACCGUCUAGAAAGCAGAAGUGUGUGUGCUUAGAUAGCCUUUCUAGCAUUUGGUCGAUAAACGGCAAAGGAUAAUGGUCUUUGCAUAUAGGCGGGAGUUGUCGAAAUUUCCCCCAAAACUCUCCCAUUGCUCGUUGCCGCCCCCCGAGCUAGUCCUCGCCGUCGCCGCCCCCGAUCUAGUCCUCCUCAUCGUCGCUGCCGUCCCCGAGCCCGUCGCCGUUGCCCCGAGCACGUCGUCAUCGCCGCCGCCGCCCCCGAUCCAGUCCUCCUCGCCGCCGUCAACGCCCCGAGCACAUCACCGUCGCCGCCCCCGAGCCCGUCGCCGUCGCCCGGAGCCCGUCGUCGUCGCCGCCCCGAGCCCGUCGGCCCCGGUGAGGUCCUCCUCUACGCGUGCUCAACUUGUCGCCGCCGCCGCCCGUGCAUAUUGCUGUUCAUACAAAUUUCGUUUAUAUAUAGAUUAUACUAGAGAUGUAUUCAAGAUGUAUUAAGUUGAUUAUUGGUUCUAACUGAAAGAAAACCUUUUUGCCUCUUGAGAUCUAUUGCAUUAUAUAUCACUAGUAAGCAUGCCCGUGCGUUGCAACGGGGGAGGAGAAUAAUAAUAAUAUCUUUUAACGUGCAACUGUAGCAAAAUAUAAAGUAGGAUUCUUUGGUUCGACAAAAGUUCCCAAUGGUGCAGCAUCCAGACAGUGUCAUCCGGCGCCAAGGAAGCACAUGCCAAAGUCUAGAAAAAAUACAUAUCAAACGGCAUUUUUGUAGGUGAAACAGAAAAUGUUAUCUAUUCUAGUCAUGUAGCACUAAACGGAUAAUAUAAGAAAGAUACAAAUUAUCUAUUUUAAUGUAGCUCGGCAGAUCCACCGGUGUUGUUUUAUAUUUGUAUGUUGCUAGCUUUGAAAUAUUUGAGGUACCUGAGAUUUAACAAAAUCUUAAUAUAUAAAAUUUCAUUAUACUAAUAAAAAGUUGUUGGGGGGAGAUAAUGCUCAGUGAUUAUUUGCAGAAACUAUAUGGAUCAAAGAGAACAGUUGUUGGGGGAGAUAAUGGUCGGUGAUUAUUUGUCAUAUCUCAAUGACACCGAUUGUCUGGAUGGAGAGGAUGACGACUCGGAUGAUCGAACAAUGGAGGAGGAAGGACAUGAUCAUGAUGGCUCUGGUGACCGAAGGCCGGAGGAAGAAGGAUACCAUGAUCAUGGCUCCGGUGACCGAACGAAGGAGGGAGAUGUUGCAAAGUCCGGCGAGGUAUAUAUAUUAAUUAAGCCCAAAGGUAUGUACAUAUAUUAACACUUCAUUCUUUCUUCUUUUAUAGCCCUCCAGAUCGAGCCAUACUUCGGUAAAGAGGCGAGGCCCGAAGAGAAGGUUGCGCAUGGAUGAAAAGUUCACAAUCACAGCAAUCACGACCGAUGGCCUACCGAUUGAAUCCAAGCUGACGAAGGACGCAUUUUCUGCUCAGUGCGGAGCUAUUGUUAGGGACAAUAUCCCGAUCAGCGUCAAGCAAUGGAAAAAGCCUAAGGGCGACGACAUCCCUGAAGGUGAUUAUGUCACCGAUAGGCAGAAAAAUGAUCUUUGGAUCACGCCGAAAGCAAAUUUCACCCUACCGCGACAGGAAGAUCCGAAUAAGCCAGUUAUAGAGCCACUUGUCAUCGCGUGUGCUCUUAAGAAGAUGGCACAUCUAUUCGGGAAGUGGAAGAAUGAUUUGAAAUCAAUGUUUGUCGACAAAGGGAAGACUCCAGAAUUCGUCGGCCGAUUUGAGAAGAUAAGAGAUCACUGGCUCGCAUUUGUGGCCUACAAGUCAUCGGAGAAGAGUAAGAAAAUGUCAGAGACAAACAAGAACAAUGCCGCAAAGAAGCAGUAUCACCAUCACACGGGAUCACAUGGCUACCUCAAAGCCCGGUCGUUCUGGGACAAAGCUGAGAAUGACCUGAUUGCUAAAGGGGUCCAACCACAGACAUUUAACUCGCGAGAGCAUUCAAGGACUUGGUUCUUCGGGGUUGGGGGAACUUUGGCCCCUGAAACAGGGAAGUGUCGUUGGACGGAUGAGCAACUUGCAAUACCCAUGAUCAAGCAUCAGAAGUGUAUCGCCGCAACACAGCAAGGGACAUUCAUUCCAGACAGAAAGAAUGACAAGCUGACUGAGGCCCUAGGGAAUGCUGAGCAUCCUGGACGAACACGAGGCACACCAGGCUCCGUUUAGUGGAAGUUUGGGUUUCCUAAUGCAAGAGGUUACAGAAGACGGGAGAGAAAGAAGAACGCGGAGCUGAGCGACAUUCAACACAUCAAGGCAAGACUGCAAAAGCUAGAGGAACUUGAGAGCCAGUGGGCUGCCGGCCAACCAUCUCAGCGGCACGAAGCUAUCCUAGAAGGUACCCCACCAUCUCAGCGGAGAAGCAGCGUGGCUUCCACAGAGCCCGUUCAGCAUGACUUCAUGGCUCCUAGCUACCUCGUGGAUACUAUCACGGAGGCUCAACGUUGCGAGCUUAUGAUGAAAUGUCGGAACCUCACUUUCAUGGCGGUUGUCGACUCUGUUGAACCUCCUCAACCCAACGGAACUUUUCACUGCCUUCCGAUUCCACAUGGCUAUGCUGUUGUGAUGGUGGAUCAAGUAAUGGAGAAUUUUGAUCAGCUCGAGCUUGAAAACCCUACAUGUGAAGGGGAGAUUCAGCUAGUUCGUGCUGUGGGGAGUACAUGUCUAUGGCAGAAGGAGUUCAUCAAGCUUCCAAACUGGAUGCCUCUGCCUCCUCCUCCUCCUCUGACUAGUCAGGGCACUCCGCCUCCUCCCCCUCCGGCAAGUGAUCAGGGCACUCCGCCUCCUUCUCCAUCUCCUCCGACACGAGAGGGCACUUCGCCUCCUCCUUCGCCAACUCCGAUGCGUCAAAGCAGUCCGCCUCCUCCUUUGCCUCGUCGGCAACGUCCGAAGACAAACACUGCCGCUCCGGCUCGUCCGGCACGUCAGAGAAGUCCGCCUCCUUCUCUCAAGCGGAAGAGAUACGCCUCCUUCUCUCCGGCGGCUAGCAGUACAAGCAGAGGCGGAAAUUUGGUCCAUCUCUCAAGCCUCUGGAAUAUUUACCAUCUAAGAGGACCAAGGAGGAAAACGAGGAGAUAUGUCGUGCCGAAUUGAGGGCCCAUUUUGCAAAGAAAUCUCCACCUCCGAAGGAGAAGCUAGAUCCGGUGAGAGUUCAGCGCACUAUCAAUCAACUGCAGCGUCUACCAUCGCCUCCGCUGAAUUCCAACUGUGACCGCAUUCUUAAAAAGACAUAUGCACAAACGGUGCGGUCAGGAACUACUUCUAGUGAUGCAAGGUUAACAGAACGAAGAAGUGGGAAAAAAAUUCCCGAGCGCGAUAUCGUCGUCGCUAAUCAUCCGGAGAUGGUGUCCGUACCAAUCCUGAUGAUUACUUGGGGGAUGAUGUAAUAAAACAACAAUAUAAAUACGUGCAUGGGAAGCCUCUCGUCAAACCUGGUCAUCAUGCUCUAACAACGAUGAUGCACAUAUUGCACGAGUGGUACAUGAAAACCUGCAUGGAGUCUGGAAAAAAAAUCUAUGUAUGUGACAGUGAAACCAGAGCACGAAUUCAUUGGACUUUCCAUGAUUACUAUUCAAUUUGAGUAGUUAUUUCAGUUAUACAAUCAACCGGCCCUCGACAAACAACUCAAGGCUUCCUUCUUUCUGUAAGUAUUACUUCUAUAGUUAAGUCUCUAGCUCAACUCAUUCAUUGCAUGUAUAUAUAAUUAUCCUUACUAUAUAUAUUAUGCAGAUUGAAGAUCGUCGAAUUAAAAAAAGCAGGAUUUGUCAACGUUGGGUUCAUAAGCCCAGAUGCCGUAAAUGAAUUGAUGGUACGAAACUCAAUCAAAGAGACCGAGGAGAACUUGCUAAACUUGUUCCUUAUGCAUAAAAAGAAGUGGAAAUAAUCUUUCCUUACAACUUCAAGUGAGUGUUGUUGUCUUCUUUGUAAACUCGGUUCGCUUACUCUAGGUUAAUUAAGUAAUGUAAUUGAUAAGUUAUAUAUGCAUGCGCAGAGACCAUUUUAUUCUGCUAUCCAUUGAUGUUGGCAGGGCAGUAGUAAAUGUCUUAGACUCGAGACAUAAAGCCGAAGAGGAUUAUGAAGACAUUACUGCAAUGCUCAUGUAAGUUCAGUCAAUAUACCGAGACCAUAUCGGCAUGCAACUUUCGUUAAUUUUCUGAUAUCAAGUAAUCAUUUUCUUUGCCUAGCAGGAUUUGGACGAAUUUCGCCAAUAUGGUUCCCGGUCUAAACAAAUAGUUGCGAUUUACGCACCCCAAAGUAAGUAGUACUAGCUACUUCCGUGCAUCUCUAAUUGAUUUAAAUUUUCAUCAAUAUAUUAUUACCAUGCUUGCUUAUCAGUUUGAUUGACACUAGUGGGGACGGGGCCUAUAGUCCCGGCCCGUAAGGGGCUUUAGUCCCGGUUCACCAACUGGGACCAAAGGGGCGGGACUAAAGGCAUAACCUUUAGUCCCGGCCCUGUUCCAAGCCGGGACCAAAGGUGCUCCACGUGGACGCCUCGGAGCGCCCUCAGGGGCAGGCCCUUUAGUCCCGGGUCUUAACACGGACCGGGACUAAAGAGUUUCUGCAGAUUUUGUUUAUUUUAGGGUUUUAGGGUUUUAGGGUUUAGGUGUUCGGGAGAUUAACGUGAUGCCUCGUUUGGUGUUCGGGAAUUAGUUUUCAUAUAAUUCUGAAUAUACAUGUUUAUGCAUAUAUAUAUAAGAUUAACUUAUCUUACAAGCGAGCAUAUAUAUAUACAAUUAUAUGGAGAUCUAAUUAUCGGGACUAGAGCCCGUCUAUUCGAUUACAUGGACCAACAUCAGUAAUGGCCCCUAGCUACAAUAAAUCGUCCUUUGUCAUCUAUAGCUUCCGUCCUCAGAAAGGUCGCAAACUCCUCUGCAACAGCAAUCGCGCGUUGCUCUGCUAGGGACUUCUUCCUCAUGGCCGUGUACUAUAUAAGAAGAGGAGAUGAAUAUGAAUAUCAAUCAUGAUAACAAAGAAUGACGGGUAAAAAUAGAGGUGUGAAUGUUCAUUGCUUACGUCGUAUGUGUGAUCCUUGUGCUCAGAGGUAAACGUGCGAAUGGUCUCGCAAACAUAGUAUCCACAUAGAUGCGUCCCCGUGUCUGUUGGUCGCACUUUACGAGAAUAGAAUAUAUAUAAUCAAAAUAAUAAUCUAGCAUCACAAAUGUAUUGAAAAUAGAAGUAUAUCAUACUACUACUUACCUGAGCCGCUCUAAAGGUCAGCUUCUCAGGCUCGAUACCGGGAGUCACGCACUUGAACCGCUUCCAAACCCUACCCGACAAGGAUAAUGAUUUGCUAAGUUUUCAUUAAUUGAUAUAUCAGAAAAUCAUCGAAAGAGACCGAUAGAGCGCAAGAAUGAUUGAAAUUACCAUUGGAUCAUGUCCUGCAGGCUUUGGAACUGUUCCAAGGGUCUCGAUAAUGGGUCGAAGGCAUCAACUCUUCCCUUAUCAAUUUGAAUGUCCAACCGAAUCCAAUGAAAGCUGCACAUGUAUAUAUAUAUAUAUGUGUGUCAGUAACUUAUCAAUUACACUUAUAAGUGAAUGGACACAAUAGAGUAAAGACCCUCACUUGAAGUUGUAUGGAAACAGUAUGUGGUCACACAUAUUUUGAUCUGUUAGAAACCUUAGAAGGUUUUCCUCCGUCUCCUUGGGUUUAUCAGUUAGCGUUGCUAUAUGUAUUUUAUCUGGGUCAAUAAACCCAAUAUUUAGGAUGUUUCAACUUUUACAUUCCAGAAUCUUCAUUCUGCAUAAUAGAGUACAAGUUAUAUGUAGACAAUGAAUUGAAAUAACUAAACAAGUUAUAUGUAGACAACGAAUUGAAAAACUUACAGACAAUAGAAACUCAUAAGCGAUUUGUCGAUGGCGUCGGCAUUCUACAUCUGGAAGAGUUCAUCAAAGUCGAUAUGGAUUUCUUUGUGGCGGCCGUAGUACUCCCGUGGGACACUCGCCACGAUCAUCGUUCUCUCAUUCUUUGAUUCACUUAAGUACCUUGUAUGCAAGUAACUUAUAUUUGUUGGGAGAUCAUCUUUGCUGACCAAAGGUGCUCCCAUGACAAACUGUGGCUUAGGGGCUACCACAGCCUUGGGUAACCUGUCGUCUUGGGAAGCCAGAACGUCUUCACCCCAUUCAUCCGCCCACUUCUUUGCUAAUUCCAAAUCUUGCCCCUGCACCAGAGGGGAAACAUUCUCGGGUAACACCCUGAGGGGUGGGAUCGACUGUUUGGCCUGUUGUCCAAGCUGAGGAACGUCUGAUAUUUUUUUGCUUGUAGUUGAACUUGAUUUUCUCCCACUUGCACUUGCACGUGAUCUGCUCUUUUUCCCUUCCUUCUGCAAUGUGCGUGUAUAGUCAUCAGGCUUAUGGUGUAAGUCAUACUGUGAUGGAAGGGUCGUGAAGUAUUUUGCAUAUGCUAUUUGCUUCUCGGUGUAUUCCGGGCGGGGCUCGGGUUCCUUCUUUUUCAUCUGCGCAUCAUAAUGUUCCUUUGCUAUCCUGGCGUUUUCCUCGGCGGUACGAUCAUAAGGUCUGAUAGGAAGAUUAGCAUGAGGUACCUUUGGGAGGGGCGACGGUUUGCGCUUUGGGGAGCCCCGUCGCUUAGAAAUCAUCGACGGAGCAUUCUUUCUGGCACGCUUCCGCUUAGUAUCCGGAGCGGGCAGCGGCGGAGACGGACGACCCAUGUCCGGCGGCGGUGAUCGAGAUGGACUCGUGUUGUGCUGGCCGUCGUCAUGUGGAGGGCUUGGAGGUGAUGGAGGUGUAGGUGACAUGCGACAACUCGAAGGCGGUGUUGUCCUUGGGGCCGAGCCUGGAAGCUUGAUGUAGUUCUUGUCCCAUAGGAUGACUCCACCCAGUACUUCUCCGAGUGUCCUCUCAUCUUCGGAUCCAGCUAUGUCGAGCUCCAUAUCAUGAAACCCCGCCAUGAUUUCAUCCACCCCGACUUUAGCAAAGCCAGCUGGAAUCUCACGGCCAUGCCAGCGUGCAUCAGGGCCAGAAGGUAAAGCUUGUCCGACGGCCACCUUCACAUGAUGUUGACUCCUUGAUUCCAUCCACGGGGUAGCCGGGACCGCCCUCUAUCAUUCUUCGUGCAUCAUCGGGCGGGGCCUCAGAUUCAGCCACGCUGCUUUUCCGCUUAGAUGGGGCGCCGGUAAUAUCGAGUGCAGGAUCUUCCUGGCGCGCUACUCCUCUAAGCUCAUCAAUCUGCUUCUGUUGCUCGUUAAUCCUGGCAAGCAACUGGUUGAACUUGUCAUUCUCCUCAUCCUGCUGUCGCUUCUUUGCUCUCGUUCGGCUUCUGUAAGUGUCUUGGUCUCUCGCAAACCCAAGCCAACACGGGUAAGAAGGAUCGAAGCCUCGCGUUCGUCCUCCAUGUUCAUCAUUGCCGAGGACCAGUGUGAGCAAAUCUUUCUCUCUAUCUGAAGUGAACUUUCUUUUUCCCACCUUAAUUUCUUUCACUAUCCUUUUCCAAUUCUCCCUGGGUAUCCUAAGACCGUCACUGCAGAUGAGGUCCCCUAUUUCUUCGUCGUACGAACUACCAUGCGCAAGGAACCAAUUUCUUGCUCUCAAUUCCCACUCAUCACGGAGUUGUUCAGGUACGAUGCCUUUAUCUAGCAGAUCUUGCUCUUUCUUAUCCCACUUUGGGAUGGCAGUCUCAUAGCCCCCUGGCCCCAGCUUGUGGUGAUAUUUCUUCUUGUCGGCAUUUAUCUUGUUCUUUUCUGAUAAUGCCUGGGCAUCUUAUGACUCCUUGUACUCUUGAAAUGCCUUUCAGUGAUUCGCCUGCUUGGCUAGACACCACUCGAAUACUGGCACUUUCUUUAUCUUCAGAUAGUUUUUCCAUAGCUUCUUCUUCCAGCUACGAAACAGUUCGGCCAUCUUCUUUAGAGUCCACUGCUUGACUUUGGCCCUCAGUUUUUUUGCGACGUCUUCAUUCUCGCAUUCUGGCAGGUUGAAAUGUGACAUGAGAUCAUUCCGAAGAUUAUCUUUGUACCUUUCGGCGACAUAGUCACGAUCGGCUGCCCCUUUGCGCUUGUUCCACUCCCGAACGCUGAUCGGGACGUGAUCCCUAACGAGAACUCCACGUUGCUUCUUGAUUGUGUCAGCAGCAUUCUUAGGAAGCUUGGGUUUGCCCGUAGGCAAUAUCACCUCAAAGGUGUAAUGCGUCCGUGCAUCCAACUUUUUAGUCGGACCUCGUUUCGUAGCGUUGCUCGAUGUGGAGGCCUAAGAGGGAGAAACAUUCGUCAAAUGAAUGUAUAUGUAUACAAUAUAGAGCUAUCUCCAAUAUUUUUCACAUAUUAGAAGUGAUUGUCGAACUUCAUAUGUAUACCUCGCCGGACUUUAUUAUUUCUCCACCGGCUUCUCCACCGGCUUCUCCAUCAGUGGAGCUAUCACCUUCUCCGUCAUUGGACCUAUCUCCUGCCCCAUCGGCUUCAUCUUCGUGUCGGUCCACCUCCAUUCCAUAUCCGGAGGGGUUUAGAUAUGACGACGGAGAUUCAACUGGUUCAACGUCGGGGCCGUCUUUGAUUAUAUCUUCGAGAAGUUCUUCCUCUUCGAGGUUCCUGAUAUGUGGAUCCAUAGUUCUGCAAAAAACGGACAUUUGAUUAACUAAUAAACUAAUAAACUAUAUAAGAGGGGUUGGAAACUUUGAAGUGUCGUUUUAUAUAGGAGGACCUUUAGUCCCGGGUCUUGGCUAGAACCUAAACUCUAAAAUAUGUCUAACGGAUUCUCUUAACCUUUAAGGAUUUAACAAAAUGGCGACAUUCUAGAUGUGUAGAAAAUGAUCCUAUUUUUCCUGAUCUCAUCUACCCUUCUAUAUGUCACAUUGUCUAGUGUCAAAGGACCUUGUUGAACUUUGUACCAAAAAAGAAUUAUUCUAUCAGGAACUCCGUUCCAAAACAACUUUAGUCCCAGGUUGUGGCUUUUCCAAAUUGAGCAUUCAAUAAGCAAAACCAAAUCGUAAAAUAAAGUAGUAUUCAAAUUAGCAUGCAUUCAAUUAUAAGCAAAACUACAUCAUCUCUUGUGUCCGUACAUCGUCGAAUAUUAUCACUAAUACUCCUCGAAUACUAUCAUACAUAUAGCAUCACUAAUACAGCUAGAACUGUAGCGCCCGACGGGUAUCGUUGCGGGCGGUGGACACCCAAAGAGAAGGAACCAUCACUGGAUCAUAGCUCCAGUGAGAUCCCUGAAGAACCUGCCAGGUAUGGUCGAACCUGCCCUCCAACGCAACCAUGUAGCGACGGACGUGCUCAUCCUCCGUGCUGACACGGUGACGUACCACCUCCGCAGUGUCCGGAAGCUUUGGCACCGUCACUAGCCCACGCGACCGCCACCAAACAAGGAUGGGGUCAACAAUGGGUUGGCUCCUCACCAACCUACGCCCCCCGGAAGGUAGCACCUCCCAAUACCAGCCGGGCGGCGCCCAGUCCCGGACAUGGCCCCUCUGAUCAAGCAGGUGUCCUCCGCCGAGUCUACGACGAGGAUGCGGGAUAGACAUCGCAAAAUGAACUAAAAAAAUAAACUAGUUCUAUUAAUUUUCUUGCUAAAAAUAAACUAAUUGUAUAUAUAGUAAAAUAAAGUAGUUUUAUUAAAUCAACUAGUUCAACUAUAUAUUGACAAAAGUUUUAUUAAAUCAACUAGUUCAACUAUAUAUUGACAAUAACCUAUUAAUUAACACUAACUACCUAACCCUAAUAACACAAAAAUAACACAAAUAACCUAUUUAACACUAUCCUACCUAACCCUAAAUUCACCAAAUAUUCUACAAAUAACACUUAAGCAUAUACAAUAGCAAAAUUAAGCAAUAAUCUAAAAAACACUAAUUAAGCAUCUUUAUACGUAGAAAUGUCUUCUUCUUCUUCUUCUUUCUUAUUUUCUUCUCCGCUUCUUCUUCUCCUAUUUUUCUUUAACUUCUCUUCUUCUACUUCUCCUCUUCUUCUAUUUUUCCUCUUCUUCUCCUCUCCUCCUCUUCUUAUUCUCCUUUUUCAUCUUUUCUUCUCCUCCUCUUCUUAUUUUCCUUUUUCCUAAUAUUAUUUUCUUAUUUUUGUUCAUCUUUCUUCUUCUUGUAACCCUAACCUAAAUCUAAAUAUUACUAACCCUAAUAAUCUAGCACAAACCUAAUAACAAUAGGAGUUAAAUGAUAAAAAAAAUCUUCUUCUCCUCCUCUUCUUCUUCCUUUUCUUAUCCUCUUCUUCUACUCCUCCUCCUCUUCUUCUACUUCUCAUCCUCCUCUUCUUCUACUUCUCCUCCUCACCGGCACGACGGCGGCGGUGGCAUCCCCGCCGGCGGGUGCCGGCGGCUCGUCCUUCGUGUUCGGCAUGAGGAGGAGGGGGCGGGGGGCUUACCGGAGUGGGAGGGGAGGGGGUCCGGCGCCGGCGAGGAGGACGGCAGGGCGACGACGAGGAGGACGGCAAGGCGACGACGACGGCGGGCAGCCUGGCGGCGUCGAGUUCGUCCGGUGCCGCGCCGGGAAGGAGAGAACGAAAUGGGUGUUUGGAUUUGGAUUUUCGUCGGGGCCGUAUAUAUAGUAGGAUCUUUAGUCCCGGUUCGGGGCUCGAACUGGGACUAAAGACAUCCUUUAGUCCCGGGUGGAGCCACGACUCGAGACUAAAGACCCUUUUUCGGCAGACCAAAAGGCGGGAAGCACGGGCCUUUAGUCCCGGGUCGGGGCUCGAGCCGGGACUAAACACACCCUUUAGUCCCGGGUCUAGCCACGACCCGAGGCUAAAGACCCCUUUUCGGCAGGCGGCAGGCGAGGGGCUUUAGUCCCGGGUCGUGGCUCCACCCGGGACUAAAGGUGGUCUUUAGUCCCGGUUCGUGCCACGAACCGGGACUAAAGGCUUGGGCUGGCGGCAUUCCAAAGUUUAGUCCCACCUCGCUUGUCGAGAGGAGCACCACUGGUUUAUAAGCCCCGUUGUCCCAACCGUGUCGAGCUCCUCUCUAAAGCAGGCUUACGGGCUAAAACAGACUGUAAAUUUCAAAAUUGAAACUAUAUUUGAAAUUAUGGAAAAAAUUCAACCUGAAUUCAAAGUGAGUUCACUUUGAAUUUAGGUUGAAUUUUCUCAAUAAAUUCUCAUAUAGUUGACCAUCGUUUUGCUUGAUUUAACACGUCAUGCACCUUUUUUUUUCUUCUUGCGGUAGAACACAUCAUGCAUCUGCAAAUCUGAAUCCGGGCUGGAUUGACUAAAGAAUAUGCAGUUCUUAGAUUUCCUAUAGAUCUCAUCUAGACUACAGGCGGCUAAUUUUCCGAUUCUCCAUGUACCAGUUCCCUAAGUGAUACAGUUUAUUUAUCCAUGCAUGUAUUACUUUUAGAUCUAAUGGUUAUAACUUUAUUCCGCAUUCGUAGAUUGGUAAAAGAUGACAAGUUUCAUUUUUGAUUAUUCAGGGUUCUUGCUUUCUAGCAUGAAGAAAAUUAUAUCUGCCAAAUGUCAUACUGAUAAAGUGGGUGAAGUUUUUGCGCAUGGUUGUUUGUUGAUUAUGAAUACUACUGUAUCAUUUCAACCAGCUCUAUAGAGGCAAAUCAUUUGAUCUUCUAGAUAUAUCUAUAUAAGCAAUUGUAAGGUGGCUAAUUUAUGUAUAUCAACAAUUGUUCAUUUUUUUCAUAGACGAUCAACUAAACACGAUCAACACACGGACUAGAUUUCGCCAACCAUUACAGUUUAUUAUUUGUUCCUUUUAUGGCCCUGUCAUAUGUUGCCUGCCAACAGUUCCAUACUUCAUUACCAUACAAGAUUCCUUCUUCUUGAGCUGUCUUAUCUACGACACUAUCCUGAAAAAUUUGGUACAUACACUCCCUAUAGAUCUAUUAUCCAAAUCUGAAAAUGUGCAAGUCCUUUGUCACAACUUAUUACUCCCACCAUUUUAUAUAAAUCUUGUGUAUCCAGUGAUAUCUUUGUCACUAAUGCCAUCCACAUAUUCCUUUCUUCAUAUCUAGGAAUAAACAUUAUAUGCACUGGGAAUUUCACACUUUCACCGUAUACGUUGAUAACCACCAAAUUUCACCUUCAUCCAUGGCGGUGUAAAUCAAGAAAAUAAAUAUGCAUGCAGCCAUAUCAACAGCCAACAGCUCCUCCUCAACUCAUGUUGUGUUUAUUGACUUCUCACAUUUUCAGUCCACCAUUUUAUGAAAAUUAGCAGUUUCACAUUAGUUCUUUUCAUGGAUGGCAUGUGUUGAAUUCUCAAAGAAUACCUUAUUGCUUUGCAUUGGUUUUAUACUUUUAUUUGAUUUUUUCAUACUUAUUAAUACAUCGAUUUAACGAAGGUCCUGCAGCAACGCGCGGGGCAUCAUCUGGUACCAUCUAUCUCUCGAUUCCCAUGUGUCAUGGGAGGUUUCGAAGGAAGAUCAUUGUAACAUAGAUUAGCCGUCACAUACAUUUUCUACCACUCAAAUGACUAGUUGGCCGCACAGAGAAAUACAUUCUCCUUCCUCGUCUUCUCAACUCAUAAGAAAAAGACCAGAAAGAACAGUGUCAGAACAGUAAGCUUAUGAACCGCGAGGGUAUGCAAACACAAAAUCACCAAAUAUAAGAUAACAUACGUCUAAAUCAAAUUGAACACCCAAAUUUGGUGGUCACUGUACAUCCUCACAUGCAUUUCAUAAAUGAUUUUAUUACCAGAUCACAUCAUUGUCCACCCCUUGACUUCUUACCAACAUGAUGGUUUAGUGCAACUCUAGGUACAUACGAUGCAGUAACAAGUUUGGCUGAAUAUGCCGACCAUCCUACAUAACGCAUGAAGGAUGUCAUCUCCCCACAACUUCUUGCAGAUAUAUAGGCAAUCCAUUUUUGUGCAUGUGGGGCCCGUAAAAGCAAUAGCUUGCCCGCAUCGCUCUGUAAACAAUAGAACACGUCAUUAAAAAAUGUCCAAAUUGCGAAAUGUCUUGAUGUUCAUGUGACAAUAACAGUCCACUACGGCUGACAGGAGAAUGAACACAUUUUUAGGGAUAGGGAUAUCGAUUUCGUACCAACAUGAAUGGAGUUUCCUAGUUGCACAAUCAACAAGAGGCAAAGAAGAAUAGCUUUCGACUCCAUAAGGUCUCACACAAACUUCUUACUCGCUUUUCUAUUUGGGCGUCCAGAAGUAUUUAAGAUUAUG
rnacentral:lncRNA from 1 species